rnacentral:rRNA from 1 species
AGAGUUUGAUCCUGGCUCAGAACGAACGCUGGCGGCGUGGAUAAGACAUGCAAGUCGAGCGGGAUUUUUCGCGGUAGCAAUACUGUGGAAAGUCUAGCGGCGAACGGGUGCGUAACACGUGGGCAAUCUGCCUUAAAGCGGGGGAUAGCUCGGCGAAAGCCGGAUUAAUACCGCAUGUGAUCAGGGGAGACAUCUUCCUGAAAUCAAAGGUGCCGCAAGGUACCGCUUUUUGAGGAGCCCGCGGCCUAUCAGCUAGUUGGUGAGGUAACGGCUCACCAAGGCUUUGACGGGUAGCUGGUCUGAGAGGACGACCAGUCACACUGGAACUGAGACACGGUCCAGACACCUACGGGUGGCAGCAGUCGAGAAUUUUUGACAAUGGGGGAAACCCUGAUCGAGCGACGCCGCGUGGAGGAUGAAGGUCUUCGGGUUGUAAACUCCUGUCAUUUGGGAACAAGCGGCUCACGUUUACUGCGUGAGUCUUGAUAGUACCAGAAGAGGAAGAGACGGCUAACUCUGUGCCAGCAGCCGCGGUAAUACAGAGGUCUCAAGCGUUGUUCGGAUUCAUUGGGCGUAAAGGGUGCGUAGGUGGCGUCGUAAGUCAGGUGUGAAAUCUCGGAGCUUAACUCCGAAAUUGCAUUUGAUACUGCGGUGCUUGAGGACUGGAGAGGAGACUGGAAUUUACGGUGUAGCAGUGAAAUGCGUAGAGAUCGUAAGGAGGACCAGUGGCGAAGGCGGGUCUCUGGACAGUUCCUGACACUGAGGCACGAAGGCCAGGGGAGCAAACGGGAUUAGAUACCCCCGUAGUCC